rnacentral:lncRNA from 1 species
ACUGGCGUGCAGUGCCAUGAUCUUGGCUCACUGCAACCUCCAUCUCCCAGCUUCCAGCGAUUCUCCUGCUUCAGCCUCCUAAGUAGCUGGGAUUAGAGGCGCCCCCCACCAUGCCGGGCUAAUUUUUGUAUUUUUAGUAGAGACAGGGUUUCACCGCGUUGGCCAGGCUGGUCUCAAACUCCUGACCUCAAGUGAUCCUCCCGCCUCUGCCUCCCAAAGUGCUGAGAUUACCAUGCCCGGCCUGUGACUGAGUCUUAGGUGAUGGAAUGUGAGCGGAAGUGAUACACAUCACUUGUUGGAACUUCAGUGCAGAGGGUUGAAGUAAUCAUAUUCUUCAGUUGAAGAGACUAAAACAACUUUACCAGAUUGAAACACUCAAGACAAAGGAGCCCAGGAACAAAAUUCAUCAGAAAACUAGAGGAAGUUUUCAUGGAGUUGCUGUUGAUUCUAAGGAAGCCAACAGCCGUGUUGUGAGUACCCAAUGGAAAGUCUGUUGUGGCAGAAAACUGAUGUCUCCAGCCAACAGCACUGAGGCCCUGAGACCUGCCAACUGUCAUGUUACAUCUCAAGGA